AUACCUUGGAUAGAUGACCCUGCUCACCACACUUGUAGCAGAAGCGUUGCUUAACCUGACAUGACGCUUGCUGUUUGUCUUCUUUCUUAGUGGGGGUCAUCCCGGAGAGUGCACGUGCUUGAUUUAUCAUUAGCGGACAAGAAGUGAUCGUAUGGUUCUUGUCAUUGCAUCCGGAGCAUCUCCUUAUCCCUUCAUCCUUGUCGUUGUAUGGACACGACACAAUGAGGUGUCCUGACUUAUUGCACUUAAAGCACCUCCUUUUCCCUUUUCUAUUUUGUUCUUGGAUGACAUAGAGAAAUGGCCAGUGCAAACAACAUGACUAAUUGAAUCUUUACCUUUUUCCAAGUUCAUGUUGAUUUCUUCAUUUUUAGCUUUAGGAACAUCCUUCUUAUGGAGCUUAACACUUGCUGCAGUUUUUCCCGUCUCAAGCUUCUUCACCACGCGGCCGUGGAUAUCUUGAGAAGCUUGAUGCUCAUCCAAGAGUUGGCUUUCUUUUGAGCAACCAGGGUUAGCACAUGGUGAUAUAUUAUCUAGAUGUGCACGUGUGCAAGAAUGAGGUUCAUAUGAAUUUAGGUUUGCAACUACAACCUCAUGAGCAAUAUCAAGCAUGAUAUGUCUAUCCAAAAGAUUAUCAUGAUAAUAAGACAAUAUAUCAUAUUUUUCAGUAAGAGCAAGUUUAUCAUGAUUUAGCAA